AAGUCGUAACAAGGUUUCCGUAGGUGAACCUGCGGAAGGAUCAUUAACACGUAUCCAAACGUUAAAACCCCCCCCGUGAACCUUCAUCCUGCUCUUGUAACCCGCGAAGCUUGCAAUCUCUGGUAAAUCAUAGCCCGGAAAGUAGUUUGAUUCAGAGACCUCUGGCCCGUGCGAACAUUGGAACAGUUACAAUCGACUGCGGUAGUUCUAUAGGCAUUGUUUCCCCAAGCAGUCAGUGUCUGAAAGUGUCAUUGACUGUGGAAGGAUAGCGCUUCACGAUUCCUGUAGACCGUACACUCGGGCAGGAGCUAUGCCAAAGGGUCCCCAUGCCCCCUUAUAACCCCACUUUCUAUUGCCGCUCCGCGCUAACACGCCGGGCAAUCAAAAACGUAACUUACAACUGUUAACAAUGGAUAUCUUGGUUCUC
rnacentral:misc_RNA from 1 species